AGGACGAACGCUGGCGGCGUGCCUAACACAUGCAAGUCGAGCGAGGAGAUUCCUCGGGAUGAUCCUAGCGGCGGACGGGUGAGUAACACGUGGGCAACCUGCCUCAUAGAGAGGAAUAGCCUUCCGAAAGGGAGAUUAAUACCUCAUAACAUUGCAGUUUCGCAUGGAACAGCAAUUAAAGGAGCAAUCCGCUAUGAGAUGGGGCCCGCGGCGCAUUAGCUAGUUGGUGAGGUAACGGCUCACCAAGGCGACGAUGCGUAGCCGACCUGAGAGGGUGAUCGGCCACAUUGGGACUGAGACACGGCCCAGACUCCUACGGGAGGCAGCAGUGGGGAAUAUUGCACAAUGGGGGAAACCCUGAUGCAGCAACGCCGCGUGAGUGAUGACGGCCUUCGGGUUGUAAAGCUCUGUCUUCAGGGACGAUAAUGACGGUACCUGAGGAGGAAGCCACGGCUAACUACGUGCCAGCAGCUGC
rnacentral:rRNA from 1 species